AUUGAACGCUGGCGGAAUGCUUUACACAUGCAAGUCGAGCGGCAGCGCGGGGCAACCUGGCGGCGAGCGGCGAACGGGUGAGUAACACAUCGGAACAUAUCCAUUUGUGGGGGAUAGCCCGGCGAAAGCCGGAUUAAUACCGCAUGAGCUCGGGAGAGGAAAGCCGGGGACCGCAAGGCCUGGCGCGAAUGGGUUGGCCGAUGUCCGAUUAGCUUGUUGGUGAGGUAAAGGCUUACCAAGGCGAUGAUCGGUAGCUGGUCUGAGAGGAUGAUCAGCCACACUGGGACUGAGACACGGCCCAGACUCCUACGGGAGGCAGCAGUGGGGAAUUUUGGACAAUGGGGGCAACCCUGAUCCAGCCAUUCCGCGUGAGUGAAGAAGGCCUUCGGGUUGUAAAGCUCUUUUGUCCGGAGCGAAAAGGUUACGGUGAAUAUCCGUGACUACUGACG
rnacentral:rRNA from 1 species